rnacentral:lncRNA from 1 species
GGCAGCUUUACAGAUCUCCCUUGAAUUUUGACCUUAAUUUUCAUGGAUCCAAACCCCAGAUCAUUUUCCCAAACACCAAACCAGGGCAAAAAUAUUUUGGUAUAUUGUGUGUCUCGACACUCACAUAUCACAUCUCCUUGGAGGAUUGUAGUGCCCACGUGCCUGUCCUAGCUUUCCAAACCAUUCUAAACAUAUCUCCUCUUUCACUUGCCAAUGAAUUCAAGUGUGCGUGC